rnacentral:lncRNA from 1 species
GGAGAGCUGGAAGGGAGAAGAGUGGAGGCCAGGCGCACGCCCCUGACUCGCGCUGGACACUGCCUGUUGCUUUUAAGGCCGCGCGCCUGUGCCUCGCAGAGCUGCGCUUGGGGCUGCAGAGGCGCUCUAAGCCCCAUCCGGGAAGGUGCCACGUGGGGCAGGCGGCCUGGAGGCGCACCCUCCGCCCGCGAGGCUCCCCAGGGCCCUAAGUCCCGCCAAGGGUCCUGCUCCCCCAGCACCUGCUGCGGAGCUUGGCCGCGCCGGGUCAGGGGCAGCCCCGCAGGGCUGCACCGCGCAGUCUCAGCCUCGCGGCGUCGGCGGGGACCCCACAGGGACCUCGGGGACCCCGGGGCAUCACUGGCCGGGCCCCGCCUCGCUAGGAAGGUCCACCCCAGGCAGUCGGGACUGGGGCGGGGCCAGCGCGAGGGGCGCCCUUAUACAGCGCCUGCCCUUACACGGCGAGCCCGGCGCCGCCCGCCGGGACCCCCCACCCCCCGGGGCCGCGCCUCCCAAAACGUCUCUAACAUCCCCUGAGCAGAUUCGCUUUUUAGCAAAGGAGAGACAGGCCUCAGACUGGGAGGUCCCGGGCAGGAGAUAGGAGCUGGGUAAAUUUAAUAACACGACUUGUUUGGGUGAUUUCAGAGUUUCCAUCGAGAGUUUAGAAUUACUCUUUAUGGCACUUGGCUUUCUAUACAUGGUAGCGACAUAAUAUUCACACAUUGUUUUUAGUAUGAAAAUGUGCAGAAAUGCACACAAGGGCAUAGAGAAUGAUAGUACAACAUUCAUCUAAUGUUCAUAAAUAAAUGCGUUAAAUAGGAGCGGAUUUGUAGAAAGAAGAAGAGUACCAAGAGUGCAGAGGCAAGGCUUCGGAGCAGGCUAACAGUGCCUGGAGUUUGGCAGGGACCGCAGGAGCUGCGUGGUGCUGCAGGAGGGAACUGGGGCCUCUCCCUCCCACCGGUGGAGUGGCGGUUAGGGGGGGCCAGAUCUCGGAGCCUGGCUCCGGGCGUCCCAGGGCGUCCCAGGGAGCACCUGCCGCACGCAAAUUCCACACCAGUGCGCCCCAGCUGGCUGCCUCUAGACUCAAGUCUCCUCGCCUGGGUUAUUUCUGUAUUUGCUUUCUCCACUGCCCACCUGGGCUGCAGCCCCCUGCCCUGCACACUAGAGCCAAAGGAAUUUUCUAGACUGCUGAAACCCCUCCAGGGCUCCCCGGUGCCCAGGGACAAAGACCCAGACCUUAGCAGCACUGGUGUGCCUUCCGGGGUCUGGGGCCCACAGACCUCUCAGUGCCUUUUCCUAGCACUGCUUCCUUCCACUUUACUCUUAACCUGAGCUAUUUGCAGCUUCCUGAAUAUUCAUUAAGUAAAUAUUGAAUGCGUUGGGGUUGGGGAUUCAGCAGCAGAAAGAGCUCAGUAGCGGUGAGGAGCUCAGCAGCCGUGGUCCUGCGUGUCCUCCGUGUCCUCCGCGUCCUCCCGGCAUUCACCGGUUAGUGGGGGAGUUGAAGAAAUAAGUGUGAAAACAGUUUUUAAAGUGUCCUGUGCUGUAAAGGACUUAGGAAGUACCAAGAGAGUUUUUGCCUUCUGCCAGGAAGAUCCCCACUCACCCCACCUUGCCCUGGGGUAGUCUUUGCUGAUACAGCGUCACUGGGAACAUGGGGCCCCUUGCAUAUAUCCUUAUUGGGGGCUCCCAUCAUAUCGGGGUGGUAAUGGACGUGCCUGUCUCUAACACUGGACGAGCUCCUCGGGGAAAGUCACUUUGGUCUGGUUGGCGUGGUGUCGCCAGUAGCUGGGGCACACGGUGCCUAGUAGGUGCACAGCAGUGGUGGGCCUACUAUUAUAGCAGCUAGCCUCCGCACCGGGACCGCACCCCAGAGCAGUUCAGCCUUCAUUCAAUUCGUUCAUUCAUCCAUUAAAUCAGAGUGCAUGGGACGCCUGGGUCCCAAUCAGCGGUUGAGCGUCUGCCUUGGGCCCAGGGUGUAAUCCUGAAGUCCUGGGAUCGAGUCCCACAUCGGGAUCCCUGCAGGGAGCCUUCUUCUCCCUCUGCCUGUGUCUCUGCCUCUCUCUCUCUCUCUCUCUCUCUCUCCCUGCCCCCCUCUCUCUCCCUAUGUCUCCCACGAAUAAAUAAGUAAAAUCUUAAAAAAAAAAAAUCAGAGUGCGCCAAGCCCCUAAUGUGAACCAGUUGAUUGACAGAGGGUGAGCUCUGUGCUGGCAGACUGUGGGGCAGCCAACCAGGAAUGGGUCAUCCUGCCUGGCCCUCUGUGGGGACAACUGCCAGAGGGAGUGUCAUGUUAACAGGGCCUCCUUGAGAGAAGGUGGGAUUGGGCUUCGGGCUGAAGGAAAAGGAACUUGGAAGGAAGCAGAGAGGUGUGAGCUGGUGCAGUUGCUGGGGUGGGGCCCUAGCUGGGUGUGGCCGAGCCUUUGGAUGGGUGUGGGAGCAAGAGCCAAAGUGGGUAGGUUGGGGCCCCACAGGAAGGACCCUGCGUGCCCGCUCACUUUCCUCGCGCUGGAGAACGAAGGGCGCAUCAUCAUCUAAGACAGUGGCUUUUCAGAGUUUCCUGACCGCCCAACGGACCUACAGUAAGAUCCACAUCACGUCACAACCUGGCGCAACGUGCAAAAUUGAAACAGGCAUAUCAUGGGACAGUUUGCUACCAGCAUUCACUCUGAUGGUUUCUCUUGUGUGUUUUUUUUAAUCAUCAUCAUUAUUAUUAUGAAAUUCUGAGUAUGACUCACCAAAUUAACUUCAAGGUCUACUUGCACUUUGACCUGCACGUUGAAAACCAUGGAUCCAAGCGUCCUGCCAAAGGGUCUAGGAGUAGUCGAGAGGCCCUUUUAGAUUCAUAAAUAAUUUAAACUCCUGGGGCACCUGGGUCAGUCGGUGGAGCAACUGCUUUUGCUCAGGUCAUGAUCCCA